rnacentral:rRNA from 1 species
CACGGACCGCACGAACGUUUAUUCGGUAUCACUGGGCUUAAAGGGUGCGUAGGCGGCUUUGCAAGUUGGGUGUGAAAGCCCUCGGCUCAACCGAGGAAUUGCGCUCUAAACUGCAGUGCUUGAGGACCUAGAGGUGAGCAGAACAGAUGGUGGAGCGGUGAAAUGCGUUGAUAUCAUCUGGAAUACCGGAGGCGAAGGCGGCUCACUGGGAGUUUUCUGACGCUGAGGAACGAAAGCCAGGGUAGCGAACGGG